AUUGAACGCUGGCGGCAUGCUUUACACAUGCAAGUCGAACGGCAGCGCGGGGUUCGUCCUGGUGUCGUGUGGCCAACUGGUGAGUAAUGCAUCGGAAUGUGCCCUGCUUUGGUGGCUAGCCCGGCUAAAGCCGGUUUAAUCUCGUAUACGACCCGAUGGUGAACGGGGGGGACCGAAAGUACCCGCGCUAUUGUUGAUCACGAUGUCGGAUUGACUGGUUUGUGUGGGAAAGGUCUCCCAAAGCGGCGUGCCGGAGCUCGUCUUCAGGGACGACCGGCCACAAUGGGAAUGAGACACGGGCCAGACUCCGACGGGAGGCAGGAGUGGGGAAUUUUGGACAAAGGGGGCAACUCUGAUCCAGCCAUGCCGCGUGCGGGAAGAAGGCCUUCGGGUUGUAAACCGCUUUUGUUCGGGAAGAAAUCCUCUGGGAUAAUACCCCGCAGAGAUGACGGUACCGGAAGAAUAAGCACCGGCUAACUACGUG
rnacentral:rRNA from 1 species